rnacentral:rRNA from 1 species
GCCUAACACAUGCAAGUCGAACGAACUCUUCGGAGUUAGUGGCGGACGGGUGAGUAACACGUGGGAACGUGCCUUUAGGUUCGGAAUAACUCAGGGAAACUUGUGCUAAUACCGAAUGUGCCCUUCGGGGGAAAGAUUUAUCGCCUUUAGAGCGGCCCGCGUCUGAUUAGCUAGUUGGUGAGGUAAAGGCUCACCAAGGCGACGAUCAGUAGCUGGUCUGAGAGGAUGAUCAGCCACAUUGGGACUGAGACACGGCCCAAACUCCUACGGGAGGCAGCAGUGGGGAAUCUUGCGCAAUGGGCGAAAGCCUGACGCAGCCAUGCCGCGUGAAUGAUGAAGGUCUUAGGAUUGUAAAAUUCUUUCAGUAGGGACGAUAAUGACGGUACCUACAGAAGAAGCCC